GAGUUUGAUCUUGGCUCAGGAUGAACGCUAGCGGCAGGCUUAACACAUGCAAGUCGAGGGGCAGCAAGGGUAGCAAUACCUGUUGGCGACCGGCAAACGGGUGCGGAACACGUACGCAAUUUACCUCUGUCUGGGAGAUAGCCCGGAGAAAUUCGGAUUAAUACCCCAUAAUAUAUUUAGGUGGCAUCAUUUGAAUAUUAAAGCUCAGGCGGACAGAGAUGAGCGUGCGUCCCAUUAGCUAGUUGGUAAGGUAAUGGCUUACCAAGGCGACGAUGGGUAGCUGGUGUGAGAGCACGACCAGCCACACGGGCACUGAGACACGGGCCCGACUCCUACGGGAGACAGCAGUGAGGAAUAUUGGUCAAUGGGCGCAAGCCUGAACCAGCCAUGCCGCGUGGAGGAUGAAGGCCUUCUGGGUUGUAAACUUCUUUUAUUGGGGAAGAAACCUCUGAUUUCUAUCGGAGCCGACGGUACCCAAGGAAUAAGCACCGGCUAACUCCGUGCCAGCAGCCGCC
rnacentral:rRNA from 1 species